AUUGAACGCUAGCGGGAUGCUUUACACAUGCAAGUCGAACGAGUGGCGGACGGGUGAGUAAUAUAUCGGAACGUUCCCAGUAGCUGGGGAUAACUACUCGACACAUUGGCUAAUACCGCCUCCUAUUGGCACGGCCGAUAUCGGAUUAGCUAGUUGUUGGGGUAAAGUCUCACCAAGGCCACGAUCCGUAGCUGGUUUGAGAGGACGACCAGCCACACUGGGACGGAGACACGGCCCAGACUCCUACGGGAGGCAGCAGUGGGGAAUAUUGGACAAUGGGGGAAAGCCUGAUCCAGCCAUCCCGCGGGUAUGAGAAGGCAUUCGGGUUGUAAAGUACUUUAGGCAGAGAAGCGGUAUCUGCAGAAUAAGCACCGGCUAACUACGUGCCAGCAGCCGCGGUAAUAC
rnacentral:rRNA from 1 species